UGGGGAAUUUUUCGCAAUGGGGGAAACCCUGACGAAGCAACGCCGCGUGGAGGAUGAAGGCCUUCGGGUCGUAAACUCCUGUCGACCGGGACGAACGUAGUCGGGUCCAAUACACCAGGCUAUCGACUGUACCGGUGGAGGAAGCCACGGCUAACUCUGUGCCAGCAGCCGCGGUAAUACAGAGGUGGCAAGCGUUGUUCGGAAUUACUGGGCGUAAAGGGCGCGUAGGCGGUUCGUCAAGUCCUGUGUGAAAUCCCCCGGCUCAACUGGGGAACUGCACAGGAAACUAGCGGGCUUGAGUUCGGGAGAGGGAAGCGGAAUUCCGGGUGUAGCGGUGAAAUGCGUAGAUAUCCGGAGGAACACCGGUGGCGAAGGCGGCUUCCUGGACCGACACUGACGCUGAGGCGCGAAAGCUAGGGGAGCAAACGG
rnacentral:rRNA from 1 species